ACGUAGGGCGCAAGCGUUGUCCGGAAUUAUUGGGCGUAAAGAGCUCGUAGGCGGUUUGUCGCGUCUGCCGUGAAAACCCGAGGCUUAACCUCGGGCUGGCGGUGGAUACGGGCAGACUAGAGGUAGGUAGGGGAGAAUGGAAUUCCCGGUGUAGCGGUGAAAUGCGCAGAUAUCGGGAGGAACACCGGUGGCGAAGGCGGAUCUCUGGGCCUUACCUGACGCUCAGGUGCGAAAGCUAGGGGAGCGAACAGGA
rnacentral:rRNA from 1 species